UACGUAGGGGGGCAAGCGUUGUCCGGAGUUACUGGGCGUAAAGCGCACGCAGGCGGUCUCUUAAGUUUGGAGUGACAGUUGGUGGCUUAACUGCCAAAAGUGCUUCGAAAAACUGAGAGACUUGAGGGCUUCAGAGGGACACGGAAUUCCGGGUGGAGUGGUGAAAUGCGCAGAUAUCAGGAAGAACACCCGUGGCGAAAGCGGCUCUCUGGAACGGUACUGACGCUGAGACGCGAAAGCGUGGGGAGCGAACAGG
rnacentral:rRNA from 1 species